rnacentral:lncRNA from 1 species
GACCGAUGCUCCUAUAUGGAAUGCCGUCUAGAUGUAGACGAUGCCGCGCUCGACGGUGCGAGGCGAUGCCCGGUUAUGCCAGAAGACUAUUAUCUGAGCAUUGAAAUCAUUUGUGACAUAUGAAAUGCCCGGUUAUGCCGGAAUACUGUUAUCUGAGCAUUGAAAUCAUUUGUGACGCAUGAAUGGGUGAAAGUGAGGGACCUAAUUAAAAGACGGAACUGUGUGGUGCGGUAUGGGACGUGCCAUAACGGUUUAGUCUGGUAAUUGGGGACCCGGGUAAGUAUGUGACAUUUAUGUCCUUACAUAUGUAUGUGUUAAAAGUAUUCUGAUGAUAUAUGAUCUCGAUAUCUUAUGCAUGAUUUAAUUGACACUAACAUGCAGGAAAGUACUGGUAUUAAGAAAGUGUGAGAAAGGCGAUUAGAUUGCAUGUUGAGUGUACCCUUCUCCUAAUAUGGAUUUAAGGGAUUUACUCGCUAAGAUGUGAUCUCACCCCUUAGUGGGCUAACAUUUUUCAGGUCCAUAAAUGGAGGAAGGCCAGGUCGUGUACAAUCGAUCGCAGUAAAUGAGGAAUAGGACUCUCGCUAUCUCCUUCCAAGUGAUGACGGGUUUUCCGUCAAGACUGGAUGUAGGGUGACGACUCACCCCCGAGAGAUCGAAAGUAUGGUAGUAGUAAAUCCCAGUCUUGUUGGUAAAAGCUUAUUUAGUGAGUAAUCGAACAGCUUCACUUUUUGUAUUAGACCUUAGGGUGUUAAACUGGUCUAUAAGUAAUGUGAUGUUGUAGGUGUGGCUUGUGAAAAAUAAUAUCCUAUGUUUCUAUCCCAUUAUUUUGUUGUAUGGAUAUUGUUUUACAUUUCCGCAUGUGCAAAAUAAUGAAUGGAUCAGCAACAGUUCCUGGGAUGUUGCAAAUUUUAAAUCGACCAUUGAGGGAUGUGCAUGUGCCCGAGGUUUGGGUCGUGACACCAACGAGACUUUGCCUCGCUUAAUUUGGGGAAGCUAAGCUCGCCCAAGGUGGGCAAGGCUCGACCUCAUCGAAAUCUGGCAAGCUCAAACCUCACCGGCCUGGGGCCAAGCCAAAGCUUGCCAAUGGUUGAUUGUUGGCCAUUACCAUAGCCGAUGACCAGCCAAGGGCAAGGAAGAAGAAACAAAAAAGAAAAAAGGAAAGGAAAAAAAAAUUAAAAAUUGAAAAAUCGAUUUAAAAUAAUAAAAUAAUAAAAAAUUAUUGAAAAUGAGUACAUGCAGGAAAUAUUUUCCUUACUGGAUAAAGAUUUUCCUUACCGAACUGCGGAAAAUAUUUUUAAUUCAUUUUCAAAUUUCAGCCAAACACUAGAAAACAUGGUUACUUUCCUAGAAAAUAGUUUCUUGGAAAAUAAUUUUCAGAAAUGCUACAUUUUCCAUAAAACAAAUGGAAUCUUAACUUUCUAAACUUCAAUGCUUCCAUUUAUUUCUUUUUGAAAUUUGAGUUCGUAAUAUCAAGUCUGUCAUGGUAGUGGUCUUCUUAUCUUUUAGCGAGAUUUAUGUAUAUUAUGUAUUAUCUAGAGCAAACUUAUCCACGGGAGAGAAAGAGACAGAUGCUCGAAAAGUGACUUCUCAUUGUAUAAUUACCUAAUUCUUCUAAGUGAUAUAUAACUACAAGUCGCAUUUCACUUGACUAGUAAGCGACAAUAUUACGUGUUUAGAAUUCAUAGUUAAAGUUAGACAUGGAAUUUUCAAAGCUCUCCUAAACUUCUUAUUUUGACUAUAAUUACGUUGGUUGACAAUAUUAAAAUAACCCCCAAUAACUUUACGUUAAUUUGAUUAGACAUGCAUAAAAGAUGGCGUUUUGCCGAAGGUUUGUGCAUGACUUCACCCGUGGAACCAUUAUUUUAUGGUAUAAGGCUCCAAUUUUUUUAUAAAAAAAAAUUAUUUAAAAAUAUAUAUAUUUUAAAUACGAUCGUUUAUAUCACUUAUAAACAUGUAUGAACCAAAAAAGAUUUCAUCACCAGCGAAUAUGUUUAGAUAUAAAUUGUCAUUAAUAAUGAAAAUACUUUUUAUUAACUAACUAUUUCAAACAAUAUAAGAAACAAUUUUAGGAAAGUAUUUUAUAAAUUUUACAAACAAACAUAUCUUAAAAAUUUACAUUUUAUUGCACGUGGCGCAGUUUUUGUGGGAUUUGUGGCUACAACUUUUACUGUAGAACGGAGAUAAAAGAGGGAGCAAAGAUUAUCGUCUGCCGUCAAAUUCGACCAAAUCUAAUUCGAUGACUCCAUGACUCGUACACUGAUUGGAAAAUUUCAGCUUUUUUCGACUGUGACUACGCAAACAGUCAAAAAAAAUUUCAAAUCUUUUAACACACGGAUGAUUUGGCUUUUUUUAUUAAAAAAAAAGGAAAUUUAUAGCACUUGAAACUUUUCAUUUGCCUCAACAGUUCUCAUAUGAUCUUUUUAUGAUUUUUCAAUGAUUGAGUUUUAGUUUAAAUUUGGUGGGAAAGGUCAAAAAAUUAUUGGACUUUCUAGAAGCCAGAACAAAGAAACACGUAUCUCCACACCUCUUUGAUCCAUAUAAUUUUUCUAAUAUUUUUUUUAUGAUUAAUAUUAUGAAAAAAUUCAAAUCGGUAUACAUAUAACAAAUUUACUCUAAACUAAUACACUUGUGAUAAAUUUAUCCUCUAUUAGUUUUCAUUAAAAAAUUUACUAUUAAAUUACUAAGUUAGAUAACGUGUGACAAUUGACAGAUGGAUUAGUUUAAAGUUUUACUUUCUAUAACAUUAUAAUAAAUAUAUUAGUUUUGAAAUUUUUAUGUGAUUAACUCAAUCCGACAAAAAUUGUGGAAGGGUAAAUUUAUCAGAAUUUUUAGUCUUUUAUGAGCAACUCAAGAAAGAGAUUAACCAUUGGGAUUUGCUCCAUUAGCCACCCUUUCAACAUGAAAGUAGGAGGUGAAAGAUUUGAACCCCACAUUUUCAGGAAGAUUGGGUUGGGCUUGGGAAUGAUUUAGUUUUAAGUGUAUGUUUUGACUCUCAUGUCCUGUAAAAAGUUAGGGUAAAAGUCUGAGAGUGAGAAUUAGAGUAGAAGUAGAGUAUAACUAACCAAAAAAGAAAGAAAGAGAGUUGCGUGAUUGACUGGGAUUAUUCUGUUUUCAUUGUGAGUGGGUGAAAGCGAAACAUUGGUGAAGACUUCAGAUAAAAUGGAGUAUGAGCAGCCAUCGUGGAAUGGGAUAGACUAAGGACAACUCAAAUAUUGUUUGAAAGUCCAGAGAUAUCAUUAUACUGUCAAGACAGUUUGUCCAUUAUUCAUAUUCAAUGUAUCUAAUAUCGCCAAUUACAUGAAAACUAUUUGGUAUUAAGGCUAUUUGUGCAAAUAAAAAGGCUGCACUUAAUGAUUUAAAAGGUUUGCCGGAUGUCUCAUCGACUUUCAAAUAGCCAAGUCUCCAUAUCCAUUGCUUGGUUACAACCAAACUAACAGAAAAAGAAAGAAAAGAAAAUUGUCCGAAAAGGUGAAUCUAAUAUUCCUUUUUCAAGACAAAUUAAUCAAUUAACGAAGUUUCUGACGAUUGUGAAAUUUGGACUCUACUGUCUAAGAAGCCAAAUCCAAGACGUAAUCAUGGCAAAAUGAAAGUAGUCGAAAAAACUAUUGUCGUUAGAAAAACGAAAUGGAAGGGAAAAAUAAAAUAAAAGAAAAGACUUUUAUUUAGUACGUCAAUGGUAUAAAAAAAGUUAUUACACGAGAAGAGUUGAAUAAAAGCUCGUUGCUUCAUUCUAGAUAAAUGGAUAUUGACACAAAUAGUUUUUAAAUUUGAUCUUGAUAUAUAAUAUGAUCCUUGAACAUAUAAUUUGUUCAGUUUGAUCCACGAAAUUUUCUUAAUGUAUAAUGCGAUCUUUGAAUGUAUAAUUUCUUCAAUUUGGUCCAUGAACUAUAUCCCGAUAUUCAAUAUGACCUUUGAACUUUAUCCUAAUAUUCAAUAUGGUCCAUGAACUUUACUCUAAUGUUCAAUAUGGUUCUUAAACUUUUAGUUUUUGCAAUAUAAUUUUUAAACUUUGAUACUUAUUUAAUUUAGCCCCUGAACUAUAUGAAAAUGUUUAGUAUUAUAUUUCCAUUAAUUCAAGUUCAAGACAACAUUGAACAUUUUCAUAUAAUCCUAAGACUAAAUUGAGCAUGUAUAAAAAAUCCAUGAACCAUAUUGAACAAAUUAAAAAUAUAGAGACCGCAUUGCAUAUUAAGUCAAAAGUUAUGGAUCAUUUACAUUAUUUUUCCCUAGAUAAAUAUCGAUGGGAGGAAAACUUGGGAUCGUCUCUCUCGCACUUUCACACAUUACUCUUGCUCUCCCAUGGAGACAUACAAGAGCAAAAAGUCUUUGCCUACCCUCCUUUUCGUCCAUAAAUGCCUGAAGCUAGACCACUCACUUAACAAUCACCUCUCUUUGAGCUUGAGAUCGAAAUGAUGAUGAUUCUCUUCUCAACUCGACCUCUCUUCAUUGUGCUUGUCAUUCCCUGCACUACUAAUUUAGGACAUAUUGGUAACCAUCUUAAUUUUCUAUUUUUGGUUCUUUCAUCAUCCAAAACAGAAAAAGAACAAGAAUUCAUUAAAUAACAUUAGUUAAUUUUUCUUUUCCUUGAGGAAAGUGACUCUGGAAUAUAUUUGGAAUAGAAACAAUAAGUUUGUGCUCAGAAGUGAAAAUAUCAUUUCCCUGGUGAAAUAAUGUAGUGCAACAGAAAUCGCAGUUUAAUAGACAAAGCUUCAGGGAAAGUGCUAAUUUUGUAUCCUUCUUGAUGAAGGCAUUAUAGGUUUUGCAUCGGUUCAAUUUCAUCAUACGAAAGAAUGUCGUAGAUGUGCACCUAUAUAACACAAACUAAUGCGUACAAGAAACUAGCGUGUUUACUUUGACCUGUUAUGUACAUAUGAGGGACUCAAAAAUGAGAGAGCAAAAUAGCAAAACGCGUCUACCAUUGUUUUCAACCACACAAAUACGGAAAAAAAUUCACUUCCUAAUGAACUUUAGCUGCAACUCCUCAUGGCCUAUCAAUCUCCCAUUGCAUAACGCAAACAUUUGCUCAUUCCCUAUCUUUAGCUUUAUAAAGAGAGCUCUUUUCAAAUAUUCUAACACUCUCCCUCACAUAUAAACUGGACUUUUUAGCCUAAUCCUUAAACAUUCAAAUAUGCAAUUCUACUGUAUAAUAUUGGGAUGCAUUGAUGAGACAUCUUUGCAUCUAAAAAAUAUAUGGUAAUGUGCAGCUAGUUUUUGGAACCUAGUUUUAGGAAAUUAAAGGAUAGAUUUUGAUGACGUUGGUUAUAUUAUAAUUGUUGGUUGUCUCUAGAGCUCUUUUCAAAUAUUCUAACACUCUCCCUCACACAAAAGUUGGAAUUUAGCCAAUACCUAAAACAUCCAAAUAUGCAACUGGGGUGUAUAAUAUUGGGAUGUGUUGAUGAGACGUCUUUGCAUCUAGAAAGUACAUGGAUUGUCCAGCUAGUUUUUGGAACCUAGUUUUAGGAAAUUAGAGGAUAGAUUUUUUAUGACGCUGGUUAUAUUAUGAUUGUCGGUUGUCUCUUUUCACUUUGAACUCAUUCUAAAGCUCAUGCUUGCCAUUCAAUUUUGUAAUAACGAGCCAGCCCAAGCCCAUGUUCUAAUAACCACCUUUCCAGCCCAUGUUUGCUAAAGCCCGACCCCGAACCGUUUUUGUUGAAAUCAAUGAACCCAGUGGACAAAAGUCACAAACCAGGAAAUGAAGGGAGCUUGUCCGUGAAGAAGAGAAAAGGAAAAAGAGAGGAUCGAGAAAAAAUUUGCGUGUAGCCGUUUCGAACGUGCUGACAAGCCGUAUCAACUCCCGAUUGCAACACUUGGUAAGUAUCCAAACCUAUUACUCGUCUAAUAGGAGUAAUUUUUAAAGUAAGGUUGUAAAUUCAAAAUUAUGUCGAUUUUGAACGGCAGUGUUCAAUGGAAGAGUCAUAGAGCUGUGGAUUUAUAUGAAAAUGAUAGUUCAAGGCAGAGCCGUAGGUUUUGACAAAAAUAGAUUCCAAAAUACAGUUUGAUUGGAACGAAUUUAUGAAAGUUUCACGUGUAAGUUACGCGUAACAUCAUAACAAUGAUAAAUGUUCACUAUAAACACAUUUUUUUCGUGAGCAUGUAACAGUCUUUCUAUUGGUGAAUAAGUGUAAUUUAUUCAAGUUGUUUGUCAGAGUAGUGUAUUACUCGGAUUUUCGUAUUAUUUUUUCAAUUAAUUGAUAGAAAUACGUAUGUAUUAGCUCAAGUAAUCUUCAUAAAAUGGUUUUAAGCUUUUCCAAGUAAGUGGUACUAUCUUUUCUUUGAGUUUGUAAACUCAUAUUUUGAAAGUGAUAUGCUUUAAUUAUAUAAUGAGUUAAGAAAUAACAUUUUUAGUUGCUCAUUCCCUUUGUCUUACUAGAGCAAGAGUUUACAUUAUUAUGAGGAUAUUUUGAUGGUGGGAUUUUUGGAUACGAGUUGUUUAUAUCUAAGAUGAGCUUGAGUUUAAUUGUUAGAUGGGGACAAAUGUAUCUUUUGAUGGAUUAUAGAAACAUUGAUAUUGUAACCAAAUGACUCUUUAAUCAAAUAUAUACGGACGUAUAUAUUUUGAUAAUAGGUUGAUGAUGGUUAUGCUUGAGGUUACGUCUUUGGGUGGAAGGACGAGCAUGUCAUUGCCUCGAUACAUGUACAGUUGAGGGCGUGACAGAUUUCAAGCUUCUUCCAUUGAUGGAAACAUGCUUAUUGUUAGGCUGAACGAUAGGUCAAUAAUAUGAUUGAAGUUGAUGAGGACAAGCAAACAGAGGCAGAAUCCAAGACCAUCUAGGUCAGUAAAGGCUAUCUUCCCAAUCUUCCCAUGUAAUAUUUUCCUAGAUGUAGUAUUGUUAAAUCGAAUUCAAAUCUUUCUAUAGACUCAUUCUUGGUGAGUUUUCACGUCAAAUGAGAACCAGACCUUCAAAUGACCCCGUGGAAAGGAAAUUGUAUGCCAACUUGUAGUUUGGGAAAAGAAAAGCUCGAAAGAUGCUACGGAAUCCAACCUAGCUGCAAGAGAUCCAGGUGGUGAUAGUGAUAACGAUGAGGAUUUAGAAAGCAAAACAAGGAUAUCCUGUAAAGAAGAUAGUUAUUACUCCACCUAUCUCUUUAACAAUUAAGGGAAAAAGAGAUAACCAUUGGAAAAGUUCUAGUUUUUUUGGUCAUCAAAAGGACAGCCUUGACCGCUGAAUUUAGGGUUACUUCUUCCAGAAGAUAAUUCCCCUUGUCUGCUGGGAUGGAAAAACAAUAGGGAUUCUUCAUUUCCCUAAAUCAUCAUAAGAGAGUUCCGCUUAUUCAAUGAGUUUCCAAUUUGUCAGCCUAGUGAGCCUUGAUACAAUAGCAAAUAUCUUAUGUUGCUAGUUUUAAUUUUCUUAUUGCAGAUCUUUUGUCAUUUUUACUGAUUUGUUACUGCAUAAUCAAAUUGAAAUGAGCGUCCAUAGCUCAAAACAAGCUAUCAACAAAAUACCCAGGGAAACAAUUAGGCUUCAGAGUCGAAAAUACUUGGGCCAACUCUAGUCAAAAUACCUUAUUUUAUGGAAGGUGGUUCGAAAACAACUCUCCCUCUUCUCCAAGCCCAUAGACGAUUGCGAGGCAAAUUUUGCGCAUCAGUAUAACAUGACUAUGCCUCUUUAUAAAAGCUAUUGGUGAGCUUUAGAGGCGAGUACUUGAGGUAGGUUUUGCACAGAAGUGCCUUCUACUCUUUCUGGAGCUUUUGAUGCUAGGAAGUCAUCACUAAAUCAACAUCAAUUCCCUGCCGAAACUCAUUAUUCAAGUACUAGUGCUCCUACUAAAGUUGGCAGAGCCACCGAAGUCAUUGCCGUUGUGUCAGCUCUUACCAUUGGAGAAGACAUUCAAGGAGCCCAGAGCAAAUGGUUGUUGUCUUCAGACUGAAGGAAGGCAUGUGGUUGGUUCAACUAGUGAGGAGCGUGACAAUAAAACUUGAACAGUAAUAUCCGAUCUCUUUUAAAUUUUUAAAAUGAAGAGUCCAAAUAAAGUUAUUGGGCAUUGGUUCCAUCAGCUGGUUUAAAACAGUUUCUGAUGAAUGGUUUGUUGAACUUGUUAAAGACCAUCUAUCGUAGUUCUUCCAAGGUUGCAACAGACACUCCCUGGUCUUUCCACCUGCUUUCUCUCUAAUGGCAUUCCUUACACUGAGGCCAAAAACACCUUCCAUUCCAGGAUGUUUGUUUAAAAGUAAAUUCUGUAUUUGUAUUAAUGUUGGAGUAGUGUCUACCGGCUUGCAUUUGAAAUCAAAGACCUUCAAUUGUUGGCUCUUUCUUGAUGCGAUUAUUGACUGUAGAAUGUCUACUCUCUUUACAAAGGACGAUAGGAGUUGGAUUACUGAACACGGGGAAUCUAAAGAUCGCCAUGCUGAAAACCAAACCAAAUUUUUGUGCAUGUCUUCAAUACCUGCAUGCCAAAUUUCAUUGGCAGUGGCUAGUGUUGAGGUUUCUUUUGAAUGAACAGGCUUUAAUGGAAAAGCUGGAGACCCAUGAUAAUAAUUAUAAUAUAUGCUAUCUAUCUUUGGCAGGUUAAUGAUAGUGAUUACUAGUUCUUGAAUUUUUUUUCCCACUGUUCAAUGUGCCUAUGUCAUCUUUGAAAUUUCAAUUUGGUUCAAUUUGGUAAUUGAUUUUGUUUAAUAAGCAAUGUUACCCCAAAACUAUUAGUUGACUCAAUUAGGUUUCCAAGCUAUUUUAAAAUAUUCAACUGACAUCUUUCUUCUAUCAAUGAAACGGUUCUAAAUCAAGACAACACCUCCCAUUCAUUACAAACAUGCCAUCUUAUACCUUCCCCAUUUAAGCUUUUUUUGUUUCAUGAAAAAUGACUGAUUUGGAGAAAAAUGUUUUCCAUUAUCAAUAAUAAUUUAUGUCUAAUAUUUCAUGACUGAUAAAGAUACUUUUGUUCAUCUAUUUUCUUAUGAGAAUAAAAAUUAAUUUUAGGAGAAUAUUUUACAAAACUGUCAUUUUCUGCAAAAUAAAAUGAAUCUUAAUUUGGGGCCCAUUUGAGCUCAUUCUUAUAAUUUAACAUUUUUUCUAAAGAAAAAUUUGAAAACAUGUUUCUGACAAAUUUCUCUCUUUUCACUAGCUGAAACCGUGUCUGCAAUUCACUGAGUUCUUUAUCUACGUUAGGAAAUUUAUGUCGAUCAAUCAUUACUUGCAAAGUUUCACGUUGAUCUAAAUUUUCAAGAUCAAUCAUUACUUGCAAAAUUUGAAAUAUGUUUUUAGGAAUUUUUUUUUCCAAGUUAAUCUUUCUCACCAUACUCACAAGAAUUCUAGAGAAAGAAGCUUUGGAGAGAAGCUCCGAAAAAGCUCUAAAUUUUCAAUUACUCGUAAGAUGAUAUAAAUGAGGGAAGGGACCCAUAUAUACAAGUAUUCCCCUAAUCAUAACCAUAUUGGCCGCCCUAAGAAUAUUAAAGAGUACACAAGUAGGAGACUCACUCGGCCUUCUUGGAUCACCCACGAUCCUUCUUACACUGAAAACCUUCAGGCCAUGCCGCAAUGAAGUAUGCUACAUUUAUGUAUUGAGGACAUCCCGAAAGGGAUUGAUCUGAUCAAUCCAAGCACACCCAGAUGCGUUCUUCAUCAAAAUGUUAUCAUGGCCCGAAUUUGUAUUAUUUAGAUUAGAAAAAACCCAAGCUUAUUUAUGCACUUAAGUAGAAAGUGAUGAUCACGAAAGAAUGGGGAGAGCAUUCUAGAGGAAAGCCAAAAACCCUAAGAUUUUAAUGUUGACUUCAUGUGGUGUUUUGCCACGUACACUUGCGAAGCUGCCUGGUUAUGGACAUGGAAUUCUUGGAGAUGAUUGGUUUUGUUAGCAAGCAAAAACCUUUUUUAGCAACCCUUCUCGAGAGAUUAUGAGGGAAAAAAGUAGGGAAAAUGACACAAAUAAUUCAUAAAUUUUGGCCCAAUAUGUAAUGUUGUCAUUGGACUUUUAAUUCAUUCUAUGCGGUUCAUGAACUAUUCAUAUAUGUUCAAUUUAGUUCCCGAGCUUUCAAUUUGUUCAAUCUAAUCCCCAAUUUUCCAUAUCAAAGUUAAAUUAGUCCUUCCACUAUUCAUAUUUCUUCAUAAUUACAGUAUUACUCACAAAAUACAUUUUUAUUUCAUUCCAUUUCAUAAAUCAACAAAAAAAAACUAGUUCUCUUUAAGUAUAUUUUAACUUAUGAUUCUAAGAUAUUAAAAAGACAACCUCAUUUAGAGUUAUAAUAUAUUCAAAUUCAUUUUAUUUCAAAAAUAAAUGUUUCAUAAGAAUAUUUAAUAACUAUAUUAAUUUAUCUAUAGAUGCCCAUACUUAUAUUAAUCUAAAUAUUAUUCUUAAUUUUUUAGAUAGAUAAAUUUUUUAAAGUUUUUAUGUUUUUUUGCUUUCUUAAUUAAAUAUAGUUAAAUAUGUGAAUAGGAAAUUAUAAUAGUAAGAACAUCCACCCUAAAUGACUAUAAAAAAAGGUUCUACUUUGACUAUUAUAGAGAUCAAAAGCUAAAAUAUAUUUAAAUGGAAUUAUUGCAAGAUUUAAAAAGAUCACAAAGUGAAAAGGUAAUCAAGAGACAACCAUAGUUUUUGUUGAUUUUAGGAUAUGGGUGGAAAUAAAAAGAUAUUCUAAU